UGGGGAAUUUUGGACAAUGGGCGAAAGCCUGAUCCAGCAAUGCCGCGUGUGUGAAGAAGGCCUUCGGGUUGUAAAGCACUUUUGUCCGGAAAGAAAUCCUUGGCUCUAAUACAGUCGGGGGAUGACGGUACCGGAAGAAUAAGCACCGGCUAACUACGUGCCAGCAGCCGCGGUAAUACGUAGGGUGCAAGCGUUAAUCGGGAAUUACUGGGCGUAAAGCGUGCGCAGGCGGUUUGCUAAGACCGAUGUGAAAUCCCCGGGCUCAACCUGGGAACUGCAUUGGUGACUGGCAGGCUAGAGUAUGGCAGAGGGGGGUAGAAUUCCACGUGUAGCAGUGAAAUGCGUAGAUAUGUGGAGGAACACCAGUGGCGAAGGCGGCUUUCUGGACUGUAACUGACGCUGAGGCGCGAAAGCGUGGGGAGCAAACAGGAUUAGAUACCCUGGUAGUCCACGCCCUAAACGAUGUCAACUAGUUGUUGGGGAUUCAUUUCCUUAGUAACGUAGCUAACGCGUGAAGUUGACCGCCUGGGGAGUACGGUCG
rnacentral:rRNA from 1 species